rnacentral:lncRNA from 10 species
CCAAAGUGCUGGGAUUACAGGCAUGAGCCACCACGCCUGGCCUCCAUUUCUUAGAUUCAGAAAUUAGUCGUGGAUUUUUUUUUUUUUUUUGAGAUGGAGUCUUGCUCUGUUGCCCAGGCUGCAGUGCAGUGGCGUGAUCUUGGCUCACUGUAACCUCCGCCUCCCAGGUUCAAGCGAUUCUCGUGCCUCAGCUUCCCUGAGUAGAUGGGAUUACAGGCGCCCGCCACUACACUUGGCUAAUUUUUGUAUUUUUAUUAGAGACAGGGUUUCGCCAUGUUGGCCAGGCUGGUUUUGAACUCCUGAUCUCGGGUGAUCCGCUUGCUUCAGCCUCCGAAAGUGUUGGGAUUACAGAUCUGGAGGUUGGGAAGUGCAGGAACCAGGUGCUGGCAGAUUCCGUGUCUGGUGUGGCCACUUCCUGGUUCAAGAUGGCAUCUGUGUCCUCGCCUGCUGGAAAGGGCCAGGAGCCUUUCUCUAGCCUCCUUUAUGAGAGCAGUCAUCCCAUCCCAAAGUCCUCACCUCCUCAUACCAUCACCUUCGGGGUUAGGAUUUCAACAGAUAACAAAUAUUCAGGCCAUAGAUAGCGCCGUGUCUUACAGCAACAGUCUUUCUCAUGCUCCUUCAGGCUUCCCAGUGCUGGAGUAUUGUAAACAAAAAGAAAAAGAGCAGGAAGAUAGUCUGUCUGUUCACAUCUCUCUUUGAUUGGCCCUAUACCUUAAUCUCUAACAGUCAGAAAAUCCUUUAUGCUAAAAUUACCUUAGGAUUAUUUAUGUGAGAAUUUUCUCCUUCAUAGUCAUACAAACAUUUUUGUGCCAAUUUCCCCUAUUUUAUUGGUAUGCCACUCUUGUGUAUUUCAUGUGCAGCUUUUUCAAUUUAGAAAAAUAUUUUCUCUAAAAUUAAAGAAAUGUGUUUUAAAAUCCUUUCGAAAGUGAAUUUGUCAGUCUUUCUGCUUGGGUUUUGGUGAGCUUUCUCUAACAUUAUUAAUGACCUACAGUUCAUAUCAAAUAGCUGUGGCAGUGAACAUUCAAAAUUAAUUUUGUUUCCCAUGAAAGACAAUUAGGUAUUCAUCUGGGUAUCCUACACCAUUUCCCUUCUCUCUCAGAGCUUCUCAAAUCCUGUCUACAUCGUAUCUGAUGCUUUUGACAUGUCACUAUUCCUAUUCUGUGUCCAAGCAGGGAAGGGUUCAAGGUCAAAACGGAUCCAGAUUUCUUCAAGAUGUUCCAUCUUUG